GGUAGGGGAGCGUUCCUGCAGCAGUGAAGUCAGACCGGAAGGACUGGUGGAGCGGCAGGAAGUGAGAAUGCCGGUGUAAGUAGCGAAAAGAGAGGUGAGAAUCCUCUCCGCCGAAAGCCUAAGGGUUCCUGGGGAAGGCUCGUCCUCCCAGGGUUAGUCGGGACCUAAGCCGAGGCUGAAAAGCGUAGGCGAUGGACAACAGGUGGAAAUUCCUGUACUACCUCCACUCCGUUUGAGCAACGGGGGGACGCAGGAGGGUAGGGUGAGCAGACUGUUGGAUAUGUCUGUCCAAGCAGUGAGGCGUGUGUAUAGGCAAAUCCGUACACUGUAACGCCAGGCUGUGAUGGCGAGCGAAAUUGUAGUAGCGAAGUCCCUGAUCUCACACUGCCAAGAAAAGCCUCUAGCGAGGAGUGAGGUACCCGUACCGCAAACCGACACAGGUAGGCGAGGAGAGAAUCCUAAGGCGCGCGAGAAAACUCUUGCUAAGGAACUCGGCAAAAUGACCCCGUAACUUCGGGAGAAGGGGUGCCCCGGUAGCGUGUCAAAGCGCGAGGGGGCCGCAGUGAAAAGGCCCAAGCGACUGUUUAGCAAAAACACAGGUCUCUGCGAAGCCGCAAGGCGAAGUAUAGGGGCUGACGCCUGCCCGGUGCUGGAAGGUUAAGGGGAAAGGUUAGCACCUUCGGUGCGAGGCUUUGAACCGAAGCCCCAGUAAACGGCGGCCGUAACUAUAACGGUCCUAAGGUAGCGAAAUUCCUUGUCGGGUAAGUUCCGACCCGCACGAAAGGCGUAACGACUUGGGCACUGUCUCGGCAAGAGACUCGGUGAAAUCAUACUACCUGUGAAGAUGCAGGUUACCCGCGACAAGACGGAAAGACCCCAUGGAGCUUUACUGCAGCCUGAUAUUGAAUGCUGGUAUUGUUUGUACAGGAUAGGUGGGAGCCGUAGAAGCCGGGCCGUCAGGUUCGGUGGAGGCGUCCUUGGGAUACCACCCUGACAAUGCUGGCCUUCUCACUUGCAUCCCUUACCGGGAUGAAGGACCGUGUCAGGCGGGCAGUUUGACUGGGGCGGUCGCCUCCUAAAAGGUAACGGAGGCGCCCAAAGGUUCCCUCAGAAUGGAUGGAAAUCAUUCGCAGAGUGUAAAGGCACAAGGGAGCUUGACUGCGAGACCUACAAGUCGAGCAGGGACGAAAGUCGGGCUUAGUGAUCCGGUGGUUCCGCAUGGAAGGGCCAUCGCUCAACGGAUAAAAGCUACCCUGGGGAUAACAGGCUUAUCUCCCCCAAGAGUCCACAUCGACGGGGAGGUUUGGCACCUCGAUGUCGGCUCAUCGCAUCCUGGAGCUGAAGUAGGUUCCAAGGGUUGGGCUGUUCGCCCAUUAAAGCGGUACGCGAGCUGGGUUCAGAACGUCGUGAGACAGUUCGGUCCCUAUCUGUCGUGGGCGCAGGAAAUUUGAGAGGAGCUGUCCUUAGUACGAGAGGACCGGGAUGGACGCACCGCUGGUGCACCAGUUGUUCCGCCAGGAGCACAGCUGGGUAGCUAUGUGCGGCCGGGAUAAGCGCUGAAAGCAUCUAAGCGUGAAGCCCCCCUCAAGAUGAGAUUUCCCACAGCAUAAGCUGGUAAGACCCCUUAAAGAUGAUGAGGUAGAUAGGUUCGGGGUGGAAGCGUGGCAACACGCGGAGCUGACGAAUACUAAUCGGUCGAGGGCUUAACCAAA
rnacentral:rRNA from 1 species